CCUUUGUACACACCGCCCGUCGCUACUACCGAUUGAAUGGCUUAGUGAGGCGUCCGGACUGGCUCAGGGAGGUCGGCAACGACCACCCAGAGCCGGGAAGUUCGUCAAACUUGGUCAUUUAGAGG
rnacentral:rRNA from 1 species